rnacentral:rRNA from 1 species
CCCCAGCGCCACAAGUGGGGGUCGCUUUUAUUGGGCCUAAAGCGUUCGUAGCCGGUUUUGUAAGUCUUUUGUGAAAUUGUUGGGCUUAACCCAACAGCGCGCAAGAGAUACUGCAAUUCUAGGAACCGGGAGGAGUAUGGAGUACUCCGGGGGGAGCGGUAAAAUGUAAUAAUCCUCGGAAGACUACCAGUGGCGAAGGCGCCAUACUAGAACGGAUUCGACGGUGAGGAACGAAGGCUAGGGGAGCAAAACG